rnacentral:misc_RNA from 1 species
UCCGUAAAGGUGGAUGAGUGGUGUUUGGUUUGUUACGUGUGGUUGGCUGCGGCGUUUGCAACAACUUCCAUGCUUUCAGACCUCUUCAUUUGUGCGGCAAGGCUUGUAUCGCCUUGAGCGUAUUGUGGGUUUUCUGUGUUGAAUACCUAAUCAAUGGUAUCGGUUGGAUUGAUCAAUGUUUCAUUUCGUCUGUYGUCGCAUUYGCGGCRUGAGAUGAACCUUGAUGYGGUCUCUUUGAUCCACCUCGUUGAAGCGCAUGCUUUGACGUUGUGGYGCAUUGAGCAUUGCUUGGUCUCUUGUAUGCGGAACAUGUAGUGGGCAUGAAUCUCACGAUUCUYGUUUGCCCUCAUAUUAGCGUAACGCUUCUCUUACACGACUUGCUCCACGUUUUAGCUCGUACGGACGUGGUGCUAUGUCGAAGAGGAAUGCUACCUGGUUGAUCCUGCCAGUAGUCAUAUGCUUGUCUCAAAGAUUAAGCCAUGC